rnacentral:tRNA from 1 species
GCGCCCUUAGCUCAGUUGGAUAGAGCAACGACNCGUGGGCCGCAGGUUCGAAUCCUGCAGGGCGCGCCA